rnacentral:rRNA from 1 species
CCUACGGGAGUCAGCAGUGAGGAAUAUUUGUCAAUGGCCGGAAGGCUGAACCAGCCAAGCCGCGUGAGGGAGGAAGGCGCAGAGCGUCGCAGACCUCGUUUGCCGGGGGACAAAAGGCCGGACGGGUCAGGUUCUGAGGGUACCCGGAGAAACAGCAUCGGCUAACUCCGUGCCAGCAGCCGCGGGCAUACGGAUGAUGCGAGCGUUAUCCGGAUUUAUUGGGUUUAAAGGGAGCGUAGAUGGGUUGUUAAGUCAGUUGUGAAAGUUUGCGGCUCAACCGUAAAAUUGCAAUUGAUACUGGCAGCCUUGAGUACAGUUGAGGUAGGCGGAAUUCGUGGUGUAGCGGUGAAAUGCGUAGAUAUCACGAAGAACUCCGAUUGCGAAGGCAGCUUACUAAACUGCCACUGACAUUGAUGCUCGAAAGUGUGGGUAUCAAACAGGAUUAGAUACCCUUGUAGUC